UACGGAGGAUCCGAGCGUUAUCCGGAUUUAUUGGGUUUAAAGGGUGCGCAGGCGGGAGAUUAAGUCGGCGGUGAAAUUUUGCAGCUCAACUGUAAAAGUGCCUUCGAAACUGGUUUCCUUGAGUGUGGAUGAAGUAGGCGGAAUUUGUGGUGUAGCGGUGAAAUGCAUAGAUAUCACGAGGAACUCCGAUUGCGCAGGCAGCUUACUAAGCCAUAACUGACGCUCAGGCACGAAGGCGUGGGGAUCAAACAGGAUUAGAUACCCGGGGUAGU
rnacentral:rRNA from 1 species